GCAGUGGUAAUUCAGAGGUAGGAUUCUCACCUUCCACGUGAGCGACCUGGGUUCAAUUUCCAGCCAACACA
rnacentral:tRNA from 1 species